CCCCCCUCUCCAACCCGAAAUCCCUUCACAAAGACCCCACCCAUUCCGUUUGCGACCCUCGCACACUCCAUGGCAUCACGAGUGGCCACGGUGGUGCUCGCCGGAGCCCUCCCCGUAUCCCCGCGCACUCCCGCGGCUGCGCCCGGGGGCAGCCAGUUCGUCGCGUGGACGAACUGCCCGAGCCGCCAUCGCGGCAUUCGAUGCGGCGUCCCCCGUGCCUCUCGCAGCCGCCCGCACCACCCCUCCUCCUCCCUCUGCACUGCUGAGGACGGUCUGCUCGAGCUGCUGAAGAGCGCGGUCGCUGCGCUCGCCAUCAUCGCCCAGAUUUCCGUGGCGCUGCCGGCGAAUGCGAUCCUCUACUCGCCGGACACGAACGUGCCGAGGACGGGGGAGCUCGCGCUGCGCAGGGCCAUCCCCGCGAACCCGAAGAUGAAAACCGUACAGGAAUCGCUGGAGGACAUCUCGUACUUGCUCAGGAUACCACAGAGGAAGCCGUAUGGCUCCAUGGAGGGGGAUGUCAAGAAGGCCAUGAAAAUAGUCAUGGAGAACAAGGAGACAAUUUUGGAAAGUGUACCUGUAGAACUAAAGGAAAAGGGCUCCGAGCUAUAUACUUCCUUGCUCGAAGGGAAGGGUGGUUUACAAACUCUCUUGAAAUAUAUUAAUGAUAAGGACAAUGACAGACUUUCUGUAGCGCUUGCUUCGUCUCUUGAUACUCUUGCUGAGUUGGAGCUGUUGCAGGCUCCAGGCUUAUCCUUUCUCUUACCUAAACAGUAUUUAGAUUAUCCAAGGCUAACAGGAAGAGGAGUUGUUGAAUUCGCAGUUGAGAAAGGAGAUGGUUCAACAUUCUUUCCGACCGCUGGUGGUGAACCCAAAAGUGUUGCUACAAUUCAGGUCGUAGUUGAUGGAUAUUCUGCGCCACUGACUGCUGGAAAUUUUGUGAAAUUGGUUUUAGAUGGGGCAUAUGAUGGGGCAACACUAAAAUCUGCAAGUCAGGCAAUCAUUGCAGACAGUAAGGCUGGGAAGAAAGGAUAUACCCUUCCAUUAGAGGUCAUGCCAGCUGGACAGUUUGAACCGUUAUACAGAAGUCCACUAAAUAUUCAGGAUGGAGAGUUGCCAGUUCUUCCAAUGUCUGUGUACGGCUCUAUUGCCAUGGCACAUAGUGAGGACUCCGAUGAAUACUCGUCACCUGACCAGUUCUUCUUCUAUCUUUAUGAUAAGAGAAAUUCUGGUUUAGGAGGAAUCUCGUUUGACGAAGGACAAUUUUCAGUUUUCGGAUGAAGGCCGUGUAGUGCUGAUAGCAUUGUCAAAAGAAGAAAUGCAAGAAGCACGAAUGAGGUUAAAGCAGUGAUGUUUCAGAUUUUGUAACUUUUUUGUUAUGAGGAGGACACAUUUCUUCAUAUUACAACAUGAACUUUUUGCAUCCAAUGUCUGAUGGAUGUAGCAGUAACAAGUAUACUGUCAGAUUAUCUACAAGCAGGAGAUUUUGGGACAGGUCGAGGGUUUCUGUUCCCUCCUCCGCUCGGUGCUGAAGGCACCCCCUCUCUUGGGCUGGCGCUAGCAGCUUUCAUCUCUACUGGAGGUAGAGUUUGCUUGCUGGCGUCAAGGCCUGAAGACACACUCCUGGGAGACUACGCCAAGCUGAAGAUCUCCGAUACGCACCAGUCUCCCCCGCGCAUGGCUGCUCGCCGGGCGCCCCUCCUGAGCCCAACCUCCCCGCUGGACUCUGGUGGCUCCUCUCCGCAGCCGUCCCCCAUGAAGAAGAAGAAAAUGGCGAUGCUCCACCGUUCUUCCUCACUGCCCUGCGAGGCACGCUGAAUCGCCGAAAGGGUCGGCUGUAAUGAAACUCCAUAGUUGAUUUUGCUAGAAAGAUAGGUUUAGAGAAGGAAUAGCUUUUGAGUUUUUGUGACACAAAUUUAUUCUGCUACAACUGCGAUUUUGGUCCCACAAUGGGUCUCAAUGAAAAGUUGGGACCGGGGGCGAGCCCCUGAUCA